GCUGUCGUCAGCUCGUGUCGUGAGACGUCGGGUUAAGUCCCUUAACGAGCGAAACCCCUGUCGUUAGUUGCCAGCGAUUCGGUCGGGUACUCUAACGAGACUGCCUAAGUUAAUGCGGAGGAAGGCGGGGACGACGUCAAGUCCUCAUGGCCCUUACGCCUAGGGCUGCACACGUCCUACAAUGGAUUCCACAAAGGGAAGCGAGACCGCGAGGUUUAGCAAAUCACCAAAAAGGAUCCUCAGUUCUGAUUGUAGUCUUCAACUCUACUACAUUAAGCCGGAAUCGCUAUUAAUCGCGGGUCAGCAUACCGCGGUGAAUGUGUUCCUGAGCCUUGUACACACCGCCCGUCAAGCCACGAAAGCAGGGGGCGUCCGAAGUCGCCGAAGCAACCUUUAUUGGAGCUAAGCGCCGAAGACGAACUUUGCGAUUGGGACUAAGUCGUAACAAGGUAGCCGUAGGGGAACCUGCGGCUGGAUCACCUCCUUU
rnacentral:rRNA from 1 species